rnacentral:rRNA from 1 species
UACGUAGGGUCCAAGCGUUAUCCGGAAUCACUGGGCGUAAAGCGUUUGUAGGCGGAAAUUUAAGUGAGAUGCGAAAUCUUGUGGCUCAACCAUAUAGACGGUAUCUCAUACUGGGUUUCUAGAAGAUAGCAGAGGCAAGUGGAAUUAGUAGUGUAGCGGUAAAAUGCGUAGAUAUUACUAGGAACACCAAUGGCGAAGGCAGCUUGCUGGGCUAUAUUUGACGCUGAGAAACGAAAGCGUGGGGAGCGAACAGG